rnacentral:rRNA from 1 species
GAUGAACGCUGGCGGCGUGCCUAAUACAUGCAAGUCGAGCGAACAGAUGAGAAGCUUGCUUCUCUGAUGUUAGCGGCGGACGGGUGAGUAACACGUGGGUAACCUACCUAUAAGACUGGGAUAACUCCGGGAAACCGGGGCUAAUACCGGAUAAUAUUUUGAACCGCAUGGUUCAAUAGUGAAAGACGGUUUCGGCUGUCACUUAUAGAUGGACCCGCGCCGUAUUAGCUAGUUGGUAAGGUAACGGCUUACCAAGGCGACGAUACGUAGCCGACCUGAGAGGGUGAUCGGCCACACUGGAACUGAGACCCGGUCCAGACUCCUACGGGAGGCAGUAGUAGGGAAUCUUCCGCAAUGGGCGAAAGUCUGACGGAGCAACGCCGCGUGAGUGAUGAAGGGUUUCGGCUCGUAAAACUCUGUUAUUAGGGAAGAACAAAUGUGUAAGUAACUGUGCACAUCUUGACGGUACCUAAUCAGAAAGCCACGGCUAACUACGUGCCAGCCGCCGCCGUAA